CCUACGGGCGGCAGCAGUGGGGGAUAUUGCACAAUGGGGGGAACCCUGAUGCAGCGACGCCGCGUGGGUGAAGAAGCGCCUCGGCGCGUAAAGCCCUGUCAGCAGGGGAGAAAAUGACGGUAGCUGAAGGAGAAGCCCCGGCUAACUACGUGCCAGCCGCCGCGGUCAUACGUAGGGGGCAAGCGUUAUCCGAAUUUACUGGGUGUAAAGGGGGCGCAGGCGGCGAUGCAAGCCAGUAGUGAAAGCCCGGGGCCCAACCCCGGGACUGCUCUUGGAACUGCGUGGCUGGAGUGCAGGAGGGGCAGGCGGAAGUCCGGGUGUAGCGGUGAAAUGCGUAGAGAGCAGGAGGAACACCGGUUGCGAAGGCGGCCUGCUGGACUGCAACUGACGUUGAGGCCCGAAAGCGUGGGGAGCAAACAGGAGUAGAUACCCUAGUAGUC
rnacentral:rRNA from 1 species